AGCCGCAGUACCCUGACUGUGCAAAGGUAGCAUAAUCAAUUCGGCUUAUAAUUGGAGUCUAGAAUGAAUGAAUUUAUGGGCAGAAACUAUCUUUAAUAAGAUAACUUAACUUACUAAAUAAGUGAAAAUACUUAUAAUCAAAUAAAAGACGAGAAGACCCUAGAAAUUUUUUAUAAUGUAAUGUUAUUAUACGUAUUUUGUUGGGGCGACAGAAUAACAAAGAACUUAUUUUAUUUCAUGUAUCAUUUUUUUAAAGUAAAAAUAAAUUACUCUAGGGAUAACAGCGUAAUUCUAUAUGAGUUUGUGACCUCGAUGUUGGACUAGGAACUUAUAUAUUCAGAAGAUAUAUAAUUUUGUUCUGUUCGAACAUUAAUUCCUACGU
rnacentral:rRNA from 1 species